GGCCCUAUCGUCUAAUGGUCAGGACAGCGCCUUUUCAAGGCGUUAAUCCGGGUUCGAUUCCCGGUAGGGUCA
rfam:Candidatus Kaiserbacteria bacterium RIFCSPHIGHO2_01_FTLL_55_17 rifcsphigho2_01_scaffold_2452, whole genome shotgun sequence.